rnacentral:tRNA from 1 species
CGGGGCAUAGUAUAGUGGUAGUACGUGCGCUUCGGGUGCGUAAAGUCUGGGUUCGAUUCCCGGUGCCCCGACUA